GACGAACGCUGGCGGCGUGCUUUACACAUGCAAGUCGAACGGUAAGGCCCUUCGGGGUGCACGAGUGGCGAACGGGUGAGUAACACGUGGGUGAUCUGCCCUGCACUUCGGGAUAAGCCUGGGAAACUGGGUCUAAUACCGGAUAGGACCACUGCCUGCAUGGGUGGUGGUGGAAAGCUUUUGCGGUGUGGGAUGGGCCCGCGGCCUAUCAGCUUGUUGGUGGGGUGAUGGCCUACCAAGGCGACGACGGGUAGCCGGCCUGAGAGGGUGACCGGCCACACCGGGACUGAGAUACGGCCCAGACUCCUACGGGAGGCAGCAGUGGGGAAUAUUGCACAAUGGGCGCAAGCCUGAUGCAGCGACGCCGCGUGAGGGAUGACGGCCUUCGGGUUGUAAACCUCUUUCAGCACCGACGAAGCGCAAGUGACGGUAGGUGCAGAAGAAGGACCGGCCAACUACGUGCCAGCCGCCGCCGUAA
rnacentral:rRNA from 1 species